ACUCAAAUGAAUAGACGGGGGCCCGCACAAGCGGUGGAGCAUGUUGUUUAAUUCGAUGAUACGCGAGGAACCUUACCUGGGUUUGACAUAAAGAGGAAUAAUGCAGAGAUGUGUUAGCGGCUUGCCGCCUUUUUACAGGUGCUGCAUGGCUGUCGUCAGCUCGUGCCGUGAGGUGUUGGGUUAAGUCCCGCAACGAGCGCAACCCUUAUCACCAGUUACCAUCAUUAAGUUGGGGACUCUGAGGAGACUGCCGGCGAUGAGCCGGAGGAAGGUGGGGAUGAUGUCAAGUCAGCAUGGCCUUUAUAUCCAGGGCUACAAACGUGCUACAAUGGCCGGUACAAAGUGAAGCGAAGCCGCGAGGUGGAGCAAACCGCAAAAAGCCGGUCUCAGUUCGGAUUACAGUCUGAAACUCGACUGUAUGAAGUUGGAAUCGCUAGUAAUCGCAUAUCAGAAUGAUGCGGUGAAUACGUUCCCGGGCCUUGUACACACCGCCCGU
rnacentral:rRNA from 1 species